ACCAGGGGUUGGAGGACCUGUACCCUCUCCCACUUGAGGCCGAAAAUGAAAGAAGUUGUUUGUCCUAAUAUAUACAUACUAUCGUUUCAUAAUAUCGGUCCUUAUAAGAAACUGUUAUAGCUUCAUCAAUUUUUAAGAUAUUAAAACUAUUUAUGCACCAUCACCGAAUAGAUAGAUAAAAUAUGGGAAAUCAAACGAAGUAAUGACAUCUUCAAUGACGUCACUUCGUGUCAGCUUGUUUUCAAAAUGGUACCGUCCAAAGAACAAUCUUGUGAAGUUGUUAAAUUGUAUUACCAAAGUAAAUCACUAAAAAACAGUGAUUAAAACGAUGGAAAGGAAUCAUCCAGACCUAGGGCAGUUGAACACUAAACAGAUCCAGAGAAUUGUAAAGAGCUUUGAAGGCUUGGGAUCAGUAGAAGACAGGCGGCACGGAAAUCCUGGAUGCCUAAGAUCUAAGAAAUACUGAAACCGUUGAACAAGUGAAAGCUGUGAGGAAAUUCAUUCCAGCAUUGAAAAGGAAAGUGUGUCAGGUGAUGUUGAGCACCGCCUGUCACUGCGGCAGCAGCUGCUGUUGUCACUCCCACCACAGCAGCAGCGUCAGUCUCAAGCACGGCGGCCACCACAGCACUCUCGGCUGAUUCCGGUUGGGUUUUGGCGUCAAGUAAACGCAAAGAACAGUGAGUCAGCUGAAUGCUGCCCAGCAUGGCGAAGAACGCAGUAGUUCGGGUGACAAUGAACAACAAACCAGCGGCCUCGUAAUCAAAAGCAAGGACUACCUGUUAAAUGGAGACCAAUUCUUCGGAUUUACCGUCAUAGGAGGGUUAAACCGGAAGUGAAGCUUCCAAGAACGUUUGAGGAAUGUCUGUAUGGCAGAAGUGAUUGUGUUGUUGUUGUUGUUAUUGUUACGUGUAUUGAAUUAUUGAAAUAAAAAGUGUUAAUGGUA